rnacentral:rRNA from 1 species
AGUCGAACGAGAACGGCUCUAGCUUGCUAGAGUGUCAGCUAAGUGGCGGACGGGUGAGUAAUGUAUAGUUAAUCUGCCCCUUGGAGAGGGAUAACAGUUGGAAACGACUGCUAAUACCUCAUACUCCUUUCUUUUUAAUGAAGAUUGGGAAAUGGUUUAUUCUGCCAAGGGAUGAGACUAUAUGAUAUCAGUUAGUUGGUGGGGUAAAAGCCUACCAAGACUAUGACAUCUAGCUGGUCUGAGAGGAUGAUCAGCCACACUGGAACUGAGACACGGUCCAGACUCCUACGGGAGGCAGCAGUGGGGAAUAUUGCACAAUGGAGGAAACUCUGAUGCAGCAACGCCGCGUGGAGGAUGACACAUUUCGGUGCGUAAACUCCUUUUAUAUGGGAAGAUAAUGACGGUACCAUAUGAAUAAGCACCGGCUAACUCCGUGCCAGCAGCCGCGGUAAUACGAAGCGCGCGCAGGCGGGCUGAUAAGUUGGAUGUGAAAGCCUACGGCUCAACCGUAGAACUGCAUCCAAAACUGUCAGUCUAGAGUCUGGGAGGGGAAGAUGGAAUUAGUUGUGUAGGGGUAAAAUCCGUAGAGAUAACUAGGAAUACCAAAAGCGAAGGCGAUCUUCUGGAACAGUACUGACGCUGAGGCGCGAAAGCGUGGGGAGCAAACAGGAUUAGAUACCCUGGUAGUCCACGCCCUAAACGAUGAAUGUUAGUCGUCGGAGGCCUAGUGUCUUCGGUGAUGCAGCUAACGCAUUAAACAUUCCGCCUGGGGAGUACGGUCGCAAGAUUAAAACUCAAAGGAAUAGACGGGGACCCGCACAAGUGGUGGAGCAUGUGGUUUAAUUCGAAGAUACGCGAAGAACCUUACCUAGCCUUGACAUAUAUUAGAAUCCGACAGAGAUGUUGGAGUGCCUUCGGGAGCUUUUAUACAGGUGCUGCACGGCUGUCGUCAGCUCGUGUCGUGAGAUGUUGGGUUAAGUCCCGCAACGAGCGCAACCCUCGUCACUAGUUACUAACGGUUCGGCCGAGGACUCUAGUGAGACUGCCUUCGCAAGGAGGAGGAAGGUGAGGACGACGUCAAGUCAUCAUGGCCCUUACGGCUAGGGCAACACACGUGCUACAAUGGGCAGGACAAUGAGACGCGAUACCGCGAGGUGGAGCAAAUCUAUAAACCUGUUCUCAGUUCGGAUUGUAGUCUGCAACUCGACUACAUGAAGCUGGAAUCACUAGUAAUCGUAGAUCAGCUAUGCUACGGUGAAUACGUUCCCGGGUCUUGUACUCACCGCCCGUCACACCAUGGGAGUUGAUUUCACCCGAAGCGGGGAAGCUAAAC